GAGGCCCCAAGCGUUAUCCGGAAUCAUUGGGCGUAAAGCGUGCGCAGGCGGUUUUGUAAGUCAGAUGUGAAAUCCCCGGGCUCAACCUGGGAACUGCGUUUGAAACUACAAGGCUAGAGUAUAGGAGAGGGAGGUAGAAUUCCACGUGUAGCAGUGAAAUGCGUAGAGAUGUGGAGGAAUACCAAUGGCGAAGGCAGCCUCCUGGCCUAAUACUGACGCUCAUGCACGAAAGCGUGGGGAGCA
rnacentral:rRNA from 1 species